rnacentral:rRNA from 1 species
GCAUAUCAAUAAGCGGAGGAAAAGAAACCAACAGGGAUUGCCUCAGUAACGGCGAGUGAAGCGGCAAAAGCUCAAAUUUGAAAUCUGGCCCCCUCGGGGCCCGAGUUGUAAUUUGCAGAAGAUGCUUCGGGUGUGGCUCCAGUCUAAGUUCUUUGGAAUACUACAUCACAGAGGGUGAGAAUCCCGUAUGUGACUGGCUGCCUCCGCCCGUGUGAAGCUCUUUCGACGAGUCGAGUUGUUUGGGAAUGCAGCUCAAAAUGGGUGGUAUAUUUCAUCUAAAGCUAAAUAUUGGCCAGAGACCGAUAGCGCACAAGUAGAGUGAUCGAAAGAUGAAAAGCACUUUGGAAAGAGAGUUAAACAGUACGUGAAAUUGUUGAAAGGGAAGCGCUUGCAACCAGACUUGCGCGCAGCUGAUCAUCCGGUGUUCUCACCGGGGCACUCUGCUGCGUUCAGGCCAGCAUCGGUUUCGGCGGCCGGACAAAGGCCCUGGGAAUGUGGCUCCCCUCGGGGAGUGUUAUAGCCCAGGGCGCAAUGCGGCCUGCCGGGACCGAGGACCGCGCUUCGGCUAGGAUGCUGGCGUAAUGGUUGUAAGCGACCCGUCUUGAAACACGGACC